GACGAACGCUGGCGGCGUGCUUAACACAUGCAAGUCGAACGGUGAAAGCGGAGCUUGCUCCGCUGGAUCAGUGGCGAACGGGUGAGUAACACGUGGGCAACCUGCCCCUGACUUCGGGAUAACUCCUCGAAAGAGGUGCUAAUACCGGAUACUAAUCCUGCAGGCAGCUGCGGGGUUGGAACGUUUUUCGGUCAGGGAUGGGCCCGCGGCCUAUCAGCGUGUUGGUGCGGUAGUGGCUCACCAAGGCGACGACGGGUAGCCGGCCUGAGAGGGCGACCGGCCACACUGGGACUGAGACACGGCCCAGACUCCUACGGGAGGCAGCAGUGGGGAAUAUUGCGCAAUGGGCGAAAGCCUGACGCAGCAACGCCGCGUGAGGGAUGACGGCCUUCGGGUUGUAAACCUCUUUCAGCAGGGAAGAAGCGAAAGUGACGGUACCUGCAGAAGAAGCACCGGCUAACUACGUGCCAGCCGCCGCGGUAA
rnacentral:rRNA from 1 species